AAGGAGGCGACCUGGAGUGAUCCCUCCUUGAUCUCCCACCAUAAGGGGGAGAGUGUCUAGGGGAGUACUCUCGAGCUCCUCGAUAUGGUGAGCGUCUUGGAGACCGACGGUACCCAUAGUCAUCGCGGAAGGAGCCGCCACCACGAUACCUACUACCUCGAUCGCCACGGUAGCCAGAGUCUCUGGUGCUUUUCAACCCCAAAUAGUGUCCUGGCGUUGGAGUUCUU
rnacentral:misc_RNA from 1 species